rnacentral:rRNA from 1 species
AUUGAACGCUGGCGGCAUGCCUUACACAUGCAAGUCGAACGGCAGCACGGGGCAACCUGGUGGCGAGUGGCGAACGGGUGAGUAAUGCAUCGGAACGUGCCAUUGAGUGGGGGAUAACGUAGCGAAAGUUGCGCUAAUACCGCAUAUUCUGUGAGCAGGAAAGCAGGGGACCUUAGGGCCUUGCGCUGAUAGAGCGGCCGAUGUCGGAUUAGCUAGUUGGUGAGGUAAAGGCUCACCAAGGCGACGAUCCGUAGCGGGUCUGAGAGGAUGAUCCGCCACACUGGGACUGAGACACGGCCCAGACUCCUACGGGAGGCAGCAGUGGGGAAUUUUGGACAAUGGGCGAAAGCCUGAUCCAGCCAUGCCGCGUGAGUGAAGAAGGCCUC